rfam:Environmental sequence ctg16110, whole genome shotgun sequence.
CCCGCCGAGGGGCGCUGCGACCAUGGACCUGCGGCCCGAGCCGCGAAGCCGCGCACACGUCCGUGCGCGCCUGCGAUCCCUGGCCAGGCUCGGCAGGGCGUUCCUUCAGCGACAACGGCGCCCGGACCAA